UUACUUACCUGGACGGGGUUUACGGGUGAUCAUGAAGAUCCGUGGCCUAGGCUGGUGGCUUCCUGCACUUGAGGUGCGCUAAGCCAAAGGUCACCCCAAGUGGGAGAUCCUGCGUCAUUAUUUGUUGCCUUGGGGGCCUGCGUUCGCGCGGCCCCUUC
rfam:Arabidopsis thaliana chromosome 4, complete sequence.